CAGAAUGUAGCUUAUUUAAAGCUAAUUAUUUACAUUAAUAAGAAAAUUAUUAUAUUCUUUCUGA
rnacentral:tRNA from 1 species